UCAGGACGAACGCUGGCGGCGUGCCUAACACAUGCAAGUCGAACGGGGAUUUGUUUCGGCAGAAUCCUAGUGGCGAACGGGUGAGUAACGCGUAGGCAACCUGCCCUCCGGCCGGGGACAACACUCCGAAAGGGGUGCUAAUACCGGAUACGAAAUCUGUGCCGCAUGGUACGGAUUUGAAAGAUGGCCUCUGUUUAUAAGCUAUCGCCGGGGGAUGGGCCUGCGUCCGAUUAGCUGGUUGGUGGGGUAACGGCCUACCAAGGCGACGAUCGGUAGCCGGUCUGAGAGGAUGAACGGCCACAUUGGGACUGAGACACGGCCCAGACUCCUACGGGAGGCAGCAGUGGGGAAUCUUCCGCAAUGGGCGCAAGCCUGACGGAGCAACGCCGCCGUGAGUGAGGAAGUUCUUCGGAACGUAAAGCUCUGUUGUUCCUGACGAACCUCCCUUCUAUCAACAACGGAGGGGACUGACGGUAGGGAACGAGGAAGCCACGGCUAACUACGUGCCAGCCGCGGC
rnacentral:rRNA from 1 species